UAGUACCUUUAAUAUGAGGAUUUUUUUUUAAUUUUUUAAUUUUGUAUAUAUAUAUUUUUUUUGGGGGGGGUCUUUAGUAAAGAUUAACUUUACUUUUAUACCUCCGGCACAUAUUACAGCAGGAAGCAUUAAGGUUAAUUGUUCAAUUUUUCUUUGAAAAAAUACAUCAGUACAACAAAAUUUAAUCAAAUUUGGCAGGGAUUAUUCAUGAGAAAUGAUAGGUUGUUGAGGUACCUUGCCCCUCAACGGAACCCCCGAAAAUGUCCAUACAUGUAUAUAGCAAUUUCUUUACUUUGACUCUAAAACUUAAUGCUGACACUCAAUAAAAUUUGACAUUUUGAGAGGGGAUCUGAAUUUGUUUGUAUUGAUUACUUUGCCCCUCAUGAGGACUCAGGGGCAGUGCUCCCCUAAGGGUCUCUUGUACGUAGUGUUGCCAGAUGUUUAUGCAUGGGGGGGGGGGGGUAUAUUAAAGAAAUAAUCAUCUGUGGUACAUUUUCGAUGUAGGUACCCAAGGGCACAAGUGAUAAUAUAGUAAUAUAGUAUAGUAAUAAUUGAUGUGGCCACUAAUUUUACAGGCUCUGUUAAACACAAGGUCCAUUGAUCUCUUGUUAUACAUCUGUAUGUUGUAAUAAAGGUAUUGAAAUGAUAUUGAUACGCAAUUAUGGUUCAAGGGGAAAAAAUACUUGCGUUCAUUCCAAAGUUUUCUCUCCACUAUUUAUACAUGUAAAUUGUUUAGCAAUUGUUUGGCUCUCACAUUGCUGAAGCAAAUGGUCAUUUGAUGCCAUAUAAGAUACUCAUAUGUUUGCAAUUUUCCAUUCUCAAAUAAGCAGGGGCGGCGAU